GUGCUUGCUUUAGCAACAUAUAUACUAAAAUUGGAAUGAUACAGGGAAGAUGAGCACAGCCCCUCAACAAGGAUGAUGUGCAGAUUUGCGAAGUGUUCCAUAUUUUA
ensembl:snRNA U6 U6 spliceosomal RNA